GGGGCGGAUCACACCAGUGACAUGAGAGUUGCUCUGGUAGCAGUGGAAAUGCUAUUUGUAAAACCAUCCUUAGCUCCAGGAUCGUAGAGCUAUCACUGAGACAAUUGCGCAGUGAGUGACAAGAGAGAUAAGCGGAGAAUGUGAGCCAUCUAUGAGACAGAGACACACAGGAGCAAUACCAGGAGUAAAGCAAGCUGAGAGCCGGAACAAUAUAAGAAAAGAGACUACCAUGUGCCAGAGGACAACUUCAAUAAAAAACACCAGGUCGGCGGAUAAGACCAUGUCACUCACAGGUUUGUGACCUGAGGCCUGAGCACCAAUGAUCCACUCCACAUCAGUGGAGAAUGUUGGAAAGUAAGGACGCUGUGGACAUUUUCUGAAGUUGGAGAAAUGGAAUGGUGGAGAAGCCAGUAUUGGGGUACCAUGAGUGGAGCAGAGUUGACGACAAAUCUCAAUAAAGCUUUUCAACUGUAUACCUAACUGCAAAG
rnacentral:lncRNA from 1 species